AAAAUUUCUCUCAGGCGCUGCCUGCUUGACAAGUUCUACACGACUGGAACAGGAGUGAAAAGUUUCAUCGUGUCUUCCAUUAACACUUGUGAUGUGAUUCUCUCUUUGACCUCCUCCACACACUUCUUAAUGAAGGCAAGCCCACAAGCUGUGUGGUGUCCACAUCGAAAAAGAGGCAGCCGAAUGUGAGUUUCAUGUGUCUUUUGGGUUUUUUUAUCACACAAAGGCAGACAUCAGUUAGAUAGAUGCUCUGAACAUGAAGGAGCUGCCUCUUUUUACCCCAUAUUCCAAAUUUCAGUCAUCUCAAAAUGACCUUGAUGAACAAGAAUUCCAUUUGUUCCUUUUACACUCUCUGUUUGGAUUUUGGAGAUAGCAACCACUACAGCAGUCCCAGCACUUACAAUGCCAGACUCUGUUUUGAAACAAUUGUGACUCGUGGCCUCUUCAAGCGUGCUAAGCGAUCAAAAACAGGCCAAGACAAACAAGGCCUGCAGCUGUCCACAAAACAAAACCACAGAUAAAUACUCAAACACGUCCGGGCCAGCGGAAACGGCUUGGCUCUCGCCUGGCUCUGAAAGGACCCAUUGUGCUCCCCAAAACAGCACAAUGUCACGCAGCCCACAUUUGAGAGAAAUUUUUAUUUACCACCUCUUUCAUUCGCGGAGCGCCACGGCGGUGGGAGCGAGAAAAAAGGAGGAAAAUACCCACCCUGCUGGAACAGAGUGGAACGGCUCCAACCUCCCUCGCUCAGCCUGGUUUUACAACCGGAUCUCUCUCAUCUUUCAGCCAGAGAUACUCGACGUGCCGAAACAGUUCAGACGGCGGCACUGAAAAGCCUCAUUUUAAUAUGCAGCACGGCAAUUCAUUAUCAUUCUAUUGGGUUCUACAAUGAUGACUGAAGAGUCUUUGACCCCCCUGAUUGUCAGAUCAAGGUCAGUUACUAAGAAAAUAAAAUCUGCAUUCCUGUCUGACUGCUCCCACCUCAAUCUGCAUCUUUCCGCUUAUGAAAACUAGUUUCUCCUCUCCCCACUUUGAUGGGUGUAUUCAUGUUCUCAAUGGGGCCACUUCUAACAGAAUACACUUGUUUUUAAGCAAAAUAAUUGUUUUGAUCUUGGAAUAUGAAAGGCAAUUUUAUCUCAAGGGUGAGAGAUGUGCAGCAGGAUGGCUGCUGAAGGAUGAAUUUGUUGGAUUGUAGCUAUACACGAGCAGGCAUGCCAUUAAAAAGGAUAGCGUGAGCGAAGA